rnacentral:rRNA from 1 species
AACCGAGUGGCGUAAGGGUGAGUAAUGCAUUGAUAACCUACCUUUGAGACGGGGAUAACAACGUUCCGCAAGGGACUACCGAAAGGGUUGCUAAUACCCGAUAAAACUCUAGAUACUUAGGUAUCGAGAGUCAAAGGUUUGGGGCUGAAAGGUUCCAUAUGCUCAGGGAGGGGUCAAUGUCCUAUCAGCUAGUUGGUAGGGUAAAGGCCUACCAAGGCGAAGACGGGUAGCCGGCCUGAGAGGGUGGUCGGCCACACUGGGACUGAGACACUGCCCAGACUCCUACGGGAGGCUGCAGUCGAGAAUCUUUCGCAAUGCCCGGAAGGGUGACGAAGCGACGCCGCGUGUGGGAAGAAGGCCUUCGGGUUGUAAACCACUGUCGGGAGUUAAGAAGUGUAGGGGGGUUAAUAGUCUCCUUACUUGACGUUAGCUCCGGAGGAAGCCACGGCUAACUCUGUGCCAGCAGCCGCGGUAAUACAGAGGUGGCAAGCGUUGUUCGGAAUUAUUGGGCGUAAAGAGCACGUAGGCGGCCCUGCAAGUCAGCUGUGAAAUCCUUCUGCUCAACGGAAGAACGGCAGUUGAUACUAUAGGGCUCGAGUGCGGGAGGGGAGAGUGGAACUUCUGGUGGAGCGGUGAAAUGCGUAGAUAUCAGAAGGAACAUCGGCGGCGAAGGCGACUCUCUGGCCCGUAACUGACGCUGAGGUGCGAAAGCUAGGGGAGCAAACGGGAUUAGAUACCCCGGUAGUCCUAGCCGUAAACGAUGGGCACUCGGUAGAGGGGUUUUGAUUAUCUCUCUGCCUGAGCUAACGCGUUAAGUGCCCCGCCUGGGGAGUACGGCCCCCAAGGCUAAAACU